CAAUAGCGUAUAUUAAAGUUGUUGCGGUUAAAAAGCUCGUAGUUGGAUUUCUGCUGAGAACGACCGGUCCGCCCUUUGGGUGUGUAUCUGGCUCUUUCUUGGCAUCUUCUUGGUGAACGUUGCUGCACUUGACUGUGUGGAGCGCUACCCAGGACUUUUACUUUGAGGAAAUUAGAGUGUUUCAAGCAGGCAUACGCCUUGAAUACAUUAGCAUGGAAUAAUAAGAUAGGACCUCGGUUCUAUUUUGUUGGUUUCUAGAGCUGAGGUAAUGAUUAAGAGGGACGGCCGGGGGCAUUCAUAUUGCACCGCUAGAGGUGAAAUUCUUGGACUGGCAGUUUAGACCAGAGCGAAAGCAUUUGCCAAGAAUGUUUUCAUUAA
rnacentral:rRNA from 1 species